UACAAGGAAGUGAAAUAUCACAUAUACUAACGUUAGUACAUAGUCCAUAUGGCAAAAUUUCCCAAAAGGUAUCGGGUGGUUACCUGAAAAAGAUUAGGCAAGAAGCUCUCUGGUUUAGGCAACUGUUGAGCAACGACGAUGUAAAAGAGUCCCAUCACUCCGGUAUGACCAACGGCACUACUGUAAUUAAACUCCACAUUCAGCGUCUCUCCAUAGCUCACUUCCACUGGAUCAGUAGGAUAACAAGUCGACAUUCCAACAAUGUAACCAGCUUCAUUUCCAGGUUCAACUCCAUUGCCAUACUUCGGCAUCGAAGUACAUAUUCCUUCACCGUUCUGUUCCACAACACAUGAGUGAAGAGUCUCAAUCCAAUACAAAUUUGUUUUCAAUCUUUUCAUUUUUGCAAUAGCCUAAACUACCUCUCGAUAUAGAGCAGCACCGAUACCACCCAAGUGCUGGUGUCCCACGCCGUAAAUGAUAUACCCAUUAAAUGGCAUCAUAAAGCUGUUUUUCUUAACAUCAAUGCAUCCAUCGCCAUUGGUUUUGCACUGUUUCACUUCGUAUUCCACCUGAACAAGCACAUAGACCAAGAAAUUAUUAGAAAUUGAAGUCAGAUUUAACAGAAUUAAGGUAGUUCUUACUGACAUGGCAAUGAUGUUCUUGGCUAUCUCCUAUUGAUCCCUCUGGUUUUUUCCAAGAAUCCGUAACAUCGAGAACAUAAACUUUAGCGGGCAAAACCUUGUUGUCCCAAUCAACCCAUCUCACGGUAUACUUCAAAUACAGAUUUCUUGUUUUCUCCCCAUUGUCAAAUCCGCUUUUCACCCGACAUUGAGUCUUAUCAUAGCAGCAGUAUAGACCUCCUUUGUAGCCGGGUCCUAUAGCUCGACCGUACUCAUCAAUGGUUACAUUAUACAGAUCACACAGACAUUCUAUGCAUCCUGUCCUGUCCUCCACACCUCUGGUGUCUAUUGCGUGAACGUUAAGAAGCCAUUUGAAUUCAUAGCCAUCAGGUCUUUCCUCAGGAUUAUCGACUUCAAUCGCAUAAGGAUCAGGAAGAUACGUCGAGGUAUUGCGGGUUUCUGAUCCUGAACCAAAGAAAUAUAAGAGUGAAUUCGUGCACAGCCCUCCGUUUCUUACAGGAAUAGUAUCUGAUCCCGAAUCAGGAUUGCUUUCGGGAUCUUGCCUUUGAAACCCAUCAUUCCUAAACAUUUCUUGCUGUAGAAACUUCGAACCUAUACGGGCAUAGUAAGGUCUGAGCAACCAGUGGUGCAGAUAUGUCUCGUGUAGAGGGACGGGGUCGCCUGCUUCGUCAACCACUUCAGCGUCGAAACUCUUGAGGCCGAUAUGCCCUCUUGGGAAAUCGAUGUCGGAUAAGAAAGAAUUUGAAACUGAUCCUGGAUUCAUCACUAGUUUUGGUGAGAAAAAGACUUCAGAUUUUAUCUUUUUCUCGGUUCCUAGAAAGCCUUGGCUCGGUGAUAUGAUGGUUAAUGCGAACAGAGCAAGAACUAAAAACAAGAUCAAUGACCUCCUGUGGUAACGAGCCAUUAUCUCCUGUUUCAAUAUUAUAUAUAUAGAUAGAGGUAAGGAGUGUGGUUGAAGUACAUGGUUGCUUGUUAGAAAAAUCUAAAAUUGAAAAACUUUUCAGCAACCAAUGACUCAAAAACAGAUAUAAUAUGUGAAGCUACUAUAUAUUUCAUAUCAUCCUGAAGUACAAGUAUAAACUAAAGUUGAAACCUGGUUUUAGAUGAUCCAUAAACAUAAGUGUAGACAUUUUUAAAAAUUCGAAUGUAUCUUAUAUAUAUGGUUUCCAGUUAGAUGUUCUACAACCCAAAAAAUUGUUUGUGAAACCAAAAACAAGAGAUUAUUGGAUUGCUAAACCAACUAGAGAGAAACAAAGAAAGAGUGAGAGAAGAGGGGUUUACGUGGGUUAACAGAGAUGACGUUUCCCGCUUCGAAUGAACGAAGAAGAAGGAUUCGAGAGUAAUCUAAUUUAUUAUGUGAAUUAUGUACGAAAAGCAAAGAGACAAGAGCUUAGUUGUAAUCUGGCACGUGUCGUCGUCACUCUCGUCAUUCAGUGACAGGGUACGUACGGUUUCACUUCCCACUUUAUCUCCUGUUUCAAGUUUAUAUAUAAUAGUCCUUUGGGAGAUAUUUUUGUUUAGAUUGUGAGGUGGUUAUUAGACCUUGUGAGAUAUUUCUAUUCUGAGAGUGAGAUGGUUCUUUAUUCAACUACUACGUCCCAUCUGUCACAAUUUUCACAUGACCAAAAAAGUAAAGAUCUGUUUGACUAUGAUGGUUUAUUCAACUACUAUACGUCCCACAUUUAUAAACUACGAAUCAUGUGAAGCUAAAAGAGCCAAAUUUACCAUUAGCCUCACUGAGCCAAGCUUUGUUAAAACCCAAUAAAGCAACUCACAACCCACGGUUUUGUCAAAGAUUAAACGAAUGGAUAAUGCUUCUUACACUUUUUGAUAUGUAGAUCAUUUGCAACUUUGCAAUAUCGUGUGAAUGUGAUGUAUUUGACAGUUCAAAGUUCUUACACGUAACUGUUACAGAAAUAAUAUCACAUCAGAGGAAGAUGGUAACAAAAUGAUCUUUUAUUCUUAAUUCUUCGUAUACAAAACAAACUUCUCUUUUCCUGUAUGAAUAAAAGUUACUGACGUAUACAAACAAACUUCACUUUCAAGUAAAACAUGAAGUCGACAUGGUUUUACUCUCUUUUUUCAUGUACUAAGAGAUUGGUAACCAUCUUCCCGGUUCUGUCUCCUGUAUAUCACGGCGGAUAUUAGAACCACUACCGCUACCACCACUGUCACAGCCAAAAAUGCUAAGAAGCUCACGCUACUCGCAGGUGCCUACAAGGAAGUGACAUAUCACAUAUACUGACGUUAGUACUUACUCAUAUGGCAAUAUCUUCCAAACAGUACUACCGGGUGGUUACCUGAAAAAGAUUAGGCAAGGAGCUCUCUGGUUCAGGCAGCUGCUGAGAAACGACGAUGUAAAAGAGUCCCAUAACGCCGGUAUGACCAACGACAUUACUGUAAUUAACCUCCAAAGUGAAUGUCUCUCCAUAGUCCACUUUCACUGGAUCGGCAGGAUAGCAAGACGACAUUCCAACAAUGUAACCAGCUUCGUUUCCAGGUUCAACUCCAUUGCCAUACUUUGGUAUCGAAGUACAUAUUCCUUCACCGUUCUGUUCCACAACACAUGAGUGAAGAGUCUCAAAUCAUUUAAAGAGUUUCAACUUUAUGUUUUUGCAGUAGCCUUAACUAAA
rnacentral:lncRNA from 1 species